GCCAAUCUCUUUAUAUUAUAGAAACAGACUGCAAAUGGGAAACUCAUUGAAAUCAAAACAGCCAAAGGGGGAAAGAAAGAUAUUAAAAGAAGACAUUAGCUGAGAAGUGUUACAAGAUCAAGACUUUUUUAAAAAGGUCAACAACCACUUAGCCAACUAGUCUUCAGACCUGGAAUUUCACUGGAAGAGAAACAUGGGCUGCUAUUUUGAUGGAAAGAGAAACUUUAUAAGAUGUUUCCAUGUCUUCUAAUUUCUUAUCAUACUGUGAUGAGGCAACCAGAGGUCUUUAAAAAACAAAUACUCUGCU